rnacentral:rRNA from 1 species
CGUAGGUGAACCUGCGGAAGGAUCAUUACUUUAUGUGAUGUUCAAAUUUGAAUUCGCAAUGAAAUGAUCGUUGUGAAACGGCUGUCGCUGGUGUCUAGGUGUUGCUGAUACAGUUGUUAACAUCCGUGGCUGUAUAUGUGGUGACAUGUUAGGACUCUUUAAUGAGUUUAAGACUUAAUGAGCCUCUUAAGUGAGGACGCCAGCACUCUUUUUUUCUCUAUAUUUUUUAAAAAAACGAAAAUUUCUAGCCUUAUCGGUGGAUCACUCGGCACGUGGAUCGAUGAAGAACGCAGCAAACUGCGAUAAUUUGUGCGAACUGCAGAAACCUUGAGCACAAAAGUUUUGAACGCAUAUUGCAGCAUUGGGGUCAAACCCUUUGCUACGUCUGGUUCAGGGUCAUUUUCUUUUAAAGCGAAAGCUUUAAUUUAUAUAUGCUAUUGAUGCUUUAUAUUUUAAGAGGUUUGUUGUUUGUCAUAAUUUUAUAAAUAUAACUACAAAAAUCAAGCAACUUUGACCUGAACUCAGUCGAGAGCACCCGCUGAACUUAAGCAUAUCAGUAAGCGGAGGAAAAGAAACUAACCAGG